rnacentral:rRNA from 1 species
GUCUUAAUAGGACUAGUAUGAAUGGCAUCACGAGGGUUAUACUGUCUCCCCUUUUUAAUCAGUGAAACUAAUCUCCCCGUGAAGAAGCGGGGAUAUUCCUAUAAGACGAGAAGACCCCAUGGAGCUUUAAACAAACAGCAUAUGCUCACCUCACCUACUCUCCGUAAAGUCAAGCAUUGUGACUGCUAGUUUUCGGUUGGGGCGACCACGGAGAAUAACACAUCCUCCGCGUUGAAAGAAUUCUAUUCUUAACUAAAAGCUACACCUUUAAGUAUCAACACCUUGACAUCCAUUGACCCAAUAAAAUUGAUCAACGAACCUAGUUACCCUGGGGAUAACAGCGCAAUCCAUUUCAAGAGCCCCUAUCGACAAAUGGGUUUACGACCUCGAUGUUGGAUCAGGGUAUCCCAGUGGUGCAGCCGCUACUAAAGGUUCGUUU